CAGUAGCCGCGGUAAUACGAAGGGUGCAAGCGUUACUCGGAAUUACUGGGCGUAAAGCGUGUGUAGGUGGUUGUUUAAGUCUGUCGUGAAAGCCCUGGGCUCAACCUGGGAAUUGCGAUGGAUACUGGGCGACUAGAGUGCGGUAGAGGAUAGUGGAAUUUCCGGUGUAGCAGUGAAAUGCGUAGAGAUCGGAAGGAGCAUCUGUGGCGAAGGCGACUAUCUGGGCCAACACUGACACUGAGGCACGAAAGCGUGGGGAGCAAACAGGAUUAGAUACCCGCGUAGUCCCUGUCACUUAUAC
rnacentral:rRNA from 1 species